UUCAUUCUCACUGUAACUAUAAGGUGACUGCUGGUGACAAACCGGAGGAAGGUGGGGGAUGACGUCAAAUCAUCAUGCCCCUUAUGACCUGGGCUACACACGUGCUACAAUGGACAGAACAAAGGGCAGCGAAACCGCGAGGUUAAGCCAAUCCCACAAAUCUGUUCUUCAGUUUCGGAUUCGCAGUCUGCAACUUCGACUGCGUGAAGCUGGAAUUCGCUUAGUAAUCGCGGAUUCAGCUGGCACGA
rnacentral:rRNA from 1 species